rnacentral:rRNA from 1 species
GAUCAGUGGCGUACAGGACGAACGCUGGCGGCGUGCUUAACACAUGCAAGUCGAACGGAAAGGCCUGCUUUUGUGGGGUGCUCGAGUGGCGAACGGGUGAGUAACACGUGAGUAACCUGCCCUUGACUUUGGGAUAACUUCAGGAAACUGGGGCUAAUACCGGAUAGGAGCUCCUGCUGCAUGGUGGGGGUUGGAAAGUUUCGGUGGUUGGGGAUGGACUCGCGGCUUAUCAGCUUGUUGGUGGGGUAGUGGCUUACCAAGGCUUUGACGGGUAGCCGGCCUGAGAGGGUGACCGGCCACAUUGGGACUGAGAUACGGCCCAGACUCCUACGGGAGGCAGCAGUGGGGAAUAUUGCACAAUGGGCGGAAGCCUGAUGCAGCAACGCCGCGUGCGGGAUGACGGCCUUCGGGUUGUAAACCGCUUUCGCCUGUGACGAAGCGUGAGUGACGGUAAUGGGUAAAGAAGCACCGGCUAACUACGUG